UACGUAGGGCGCAAGCGUUGUCCGGAAUUACUGGGCGUAAAGAGCUCGUAGGUGGUUUGUCGCGUUGUCCGUGAAAACUCACAACUCAAUUGUGGGCGUGCGGGCGAUACGGGCAGACUGGAGUACUGCAGGGGAGACUGGAAUUCCUGGUGUAGCGGUGGAAUGCGCAGAUAUCAGGAGGAACACCGGUGGCGAAGGCGGGUCUCUGGGCAGUAACUGACGCUGAGGAGCGAAAGCGUGGGGAGCGAACAGG
rnacentral:rRNA from 1 species